ACAGUAUUGGUCCAAUGGUUAGGAUUCUUCCCUUCCAUGUGAAUAGAGGAAGAGGUCGGUGUUCAAUUCACCGAUACUGUA